AUGUGGCUCAGUGGUAGUGCACUUGACUGGUAUGCAUGAGGCCCUGGGUUCAAUUCCCCAGCAU
rnacentral:tRNA from 1 species